AUUGAACGCUGGCGGCAUGCCUUACACAUGCAAGUCGAACGGCAGCACGGGAGCAAUCCUGGUGGCGAGUGGCGGACGGGUGAGUAAAGUAUCGGAACGUGCCCAGUCGUGGGGGAUAACGUAGCGAAAGUUACGCUAAUACCGCAUACGAUCUAUGGAUGAAAGCGGGGGAUCGCAAGACCUCGCGCGAUUGGAGCGGCCGAUAUCAGAUUAGGUAGUUGGUGGGGUAAAGGCUCACCAGCCGAAGAUCUGUAGCUGGUCUGAGAGGACGACCAGCCACACUGGGACUGAGACACGGCCCAGACUCCUACGGGAGGCAGCAGUGGGGAAUUUUGGACAAUGGGCGCAAGCCUGAUCCAGCCAUGCCGCGUGCAGGAUGAAGGCCUUCGGGUUGUAAACUGCUUUUGUACGGAACGAAAAGGUUUGACUUAAUACGUUGGACUCAUGACGGUACCGUAAGAAUAAGCACCGGCUAACUACGUGCCAGCAGCCGCGGUAA
rnacentral:rRNA from 1 species